rnacentral:rRNA from 1 species
AUUGAACGCUGGCGGCAGGCCUAACACAUGCAAGUCGAACGGUAACAGGAAGCAGCUUGCUGCUUCGCUGACGAGUGGCGGACGGGUGAGUAAUGUCUGGGAAACUGCCUGAUGGAGGGGGAUAACUAUUGGAAACGGUAGCUAAUACCGCAUAAUGUCGCAAGACCAAAGAGGGGGACCUUCGGGCCUCUUGCCAUCGGAUGUGCCCAGAUGGGAUUAGCUAGUAGGUGGGGUACGGCUCACCUAGGCGACGAUCCCUAGCUGGUCUGAGGGGAUGACCAGCCACACUGGAACUGAGACACGGUCCAGACUCCUACGGGAGGCAGCAGUGGGGAAUAUUGCACAAUGGGCGCAAGCCUGAUGCAGCCAUGCCGCGUGUAUGAAGAAGGCCUUCGGGUUGUAAAGUACUUUCAGCGGGGAGGAAGGCGAUAAGGUUAAUAACCUUGUCGAUUGACGUUAUCCGCAGAAGAAGCACCGGCUAACUCCGUGCCAGCCGCCGCAGUAA